AGAAAGUUUGCUACUAACCUAGCAAUAUUACGUUUACAGUCUAAUAUUACGAGAAGACGAUCUAAGUUGGAGUUUGUUUUUUUAUCUAUGCAUGUGCGUCCAUGAGGAUAUUGCAUACCUCCACCUCUCCAGGCUCUCCUCAACCUGCACCCUACUCUCGCUACAGAUCACAAUGUCAUCCGCGAACAUCAUCGUCCAUGGAGACUCCUGCCUGAUCUUGUCCGUCAACCUGUCCAUCACCAUUGCAAACAAGCAUCCUCUCACUUUCCAGGAUUGUGUUAAACAAUCUAGUUAAAAACUCCACUGCCAUCUCCCCUAAACAUCUCCAUGUCUCCACAGCUCAUUCUCUGGAGACUCAAGAAAGGAAGGAAGAAAGAAAGGGAAAAGGGAAAGAAGGCAAAUAGGUAGGCAGGGUAUUAAGAUGGCGAGGCUCCUGGAGUCUCACAUAAGGAAUGACUGUAAUUUUGAAGAUUCUGCCAAGAGACACCUUGACAGGUCUUCUGUCUGAAGGGUGGAAAUGCUUUGAUGCAGGAGCUAUUGAGAAGACUGACAUGGUCUGGCACCAUGUACCUCAUUCCUGCAGAUAUACACACCAAAUGUAUUAUCCGAUUUACAGUGACCUCACAGUUCAUCACAUCAGAUGACAUCCUCAAAGAUUGGAACAUUAUCUCCAAGACAGGUUCCAAUCUUCUCACAGAGAUGCAACCUCUUAGUCAUACUGAGGAACUGCAGGAGGAUGAGGUAACAAGAAUUUGCUCAAGAGGUGACACUGAACACACCUCAGGCAUGGACAAGAAGAAUAACUUUGACUCAGAGCCACCGUUGGAGGAGACAGACAGUUCUGCCUCCAGACUUGACAAAAGCCAAGUGGAGCUGUGGAUAGACAAGGCUUAUGACAGAUCAAGGAGGCCAAUACGCUCUCUUAGUUGCCAUAGUGAGCCGCUGCCUUGCACCAAUAUUGGGCCACUGUCUCGGUAUGACUUUGAGCCAAAGCCUGGUCCUAAAGAUCCUGUAGUUUGUCCCCCGAUGACUGAUUCCAACUCAAGGCCUUUGCCUUCAGAUACAAGAGCAGGCCCCCUGUUCAAGACUCCAGAGUUUCCCUCAAGCAGAGCCGGCCCUAACUAACAUGGCACCCAAGGCAAGAUUGUCUGUGGCGCCCCCUUGUGACCAGAAAUGUGUGCUUUAAAAGCUGGAGGUAGUUUUUUUUUAGGGCGUCAUUGAGCAAAAAUUUCAUAAUAACCUUUCAGCAUAUUGUGAUUCAAUUGGUCUGAGAGAAAACUAGACUUCUGCUUGUCCACUUGGCUCUGUAUUCAGGCUUUAAAAAAAAUCUAGCCCGGGAAGAUUUUACUCAAUCAUGGGUCAUUUCAGAGAGCGGGCGUUCCUACUGGCUGUUCUACAAAUGGAGAUGCGCGUGUACGUGAUCAAUUUGCGUCCACCCUGCCCCACCGAUCGCUUGUGGUUGUAAACCUAACCCAUUAAAUCAACAAAUCGAAAUUGCUGCUUCACAUGAAGAAUAUUAGUGUAACAAAGAGAGUCUUGCUUUGUUUUGUUGUGUAUUAAGAUGUGUAUUUUUGUUAAUAACAUAAGAAUAGAGCUAGUUGUUGGUAGACAUAUUGUACCACAUAUCCCAUGAGCCUCAGACUGUUGGAAGUUCCCAAGUUUACAGG